rnacentral:tRNA from 1 species
GAGGGUAUAGCUCAAGUGGUAGAGCACAUGCUUAGCAUGCACGAGGCCCUGGGUUCAAUCCCCAAUGCCUCCA